GUGAGGAAUAUUGGACAAUGGGCGCAAGCCUGAUCCAGUCAUGCCGCGUGCAGGAAGACGCAUCUAUGGUGUGUAAACUGCUUUUGUACGGGAAGAAACACUCCCUCGUGAGGGAGCUUGACGGUACCGUAAGAAUAAGGAUCGGCUAACUCCGUGCCAGCAGCCGCGGUAAUACGGAGGAUCCAAGCGUUAUCCGGAAUCAUUGGGUUUAAAGGGUCCGUAGGCGGUUUAAUAAGUCAGUGGUGAAAGCCCAUCGCUCAACGAUGGAACGGCCAUUGAUACUGUUAGACUUGAAUUACAAGGAAGUAACUAGAAUAUGUAGUGUAGCGGUGAAAUGCUUAGAUAUUACAUGGAAUACCAAUUGCGAAGGCAGGUUACUACUUGUGGAUUGACGCUGAUGGACGAAAGCGUGGGGAGCGAACAGGAUUAGAAACCCGAGUAGUCC
rnacentral:rRNA from 1 species